AUGUUGGUGAAUCACUCCACCAGCCGCCACCCAAAAGAAACCCUACAGAUGGAUCCUGACAUGGGAGAUGUCACAGAGGAGGAUGGGGAGGCUGUGGAUGUUAGGACAGCAGCAUCAGCACAGAGGAGGAGGAGGCGCAGGCAGAGGGCACUAGAGGCAGCACAAAGGAGGAGGAGGCGCAGGCAAGAGGAGUUCAACCGCCGACUCUCCGACAAGGUACUGGAGAAGUGCAAUGACGAAGAACUGGAGCUGGUUUUCACUGGUGGCAAGGGAAGGUCAUUCAUGGAGAUCAUUAGGUGGGCAAGGAUGAGGGCAGUCAUGGCUCCUCAUCCAGCAACUAGGGCCAAGUGGGUCCGUUUCUUCGAGCGAUAUGACUGA
rnacentral:rRNA from 1 species